AGUCGACGAUGAACCUCACUUGUGGGGGGAUUAGUGGCGAACGGGUGAGUAACACGUGAGUAACCUGCCCUUGACUCUGGGAUAAGCCUGGGAAACCGGGUCUAAUACUGGAUACGACCUUCUGGCGCAUGCCAUGUUGGUGGAAAGCUUUUGUGGUUUUGGAUGGACUCGCGGCCUAUCAGCUUGUUGGUGGGGUAAUGGCCUACCAAGGCGACGACGGGUAGCCGGCCUGAGAGGGUGACCGGCCACACUGGGACUGAGACACGGCCCAGACUCCUACGGGAGGCAGCAGUGGGGAAUAUUGCACAAUGGGCGCAAGCCUGAUGCAGCGACGCCGCGUGAGGGAUGAAGGCCUUCGGGUUGUAAACCUCUUUCAGUAGGGAAGAAGCCGGCCUUUCGGGGUUGGUGACGGUACCUGCAGAAGAAGCGCCGGCUAACUACGUGCCAGCAGCCGCGGUAAUACGUAGGGCGCAAGCGUUAUCCGGAAUUAUUGGGCGUAAAGAGCUCGUAGGCGGUUUGUCGCGUCUGCCGUGAAAGUCCGGGGCUUAACCCCGGAUCUGCGGUGGGUACGGGCAGACUAGAGUGCAGUAGGGGAGACUGGAAUUCCUGGUGUAGCGGUGAAAUGCGCAGAUAUCAGGAGGAACACCGAUGGCGAAGGCAGGUCUCUGGGCUGUAACUGACGCUGAGGAGCGAAAGCAUGGGGAGCGAACAGGAUUAGAUACCCUGGUAGUCCAUGCCGUAAACGUUGGGCACUAGGUGUGGGGGACAUUCCACGUUUUCCGCGCCGUAGCUAACGCAUUAAGUGCCCCGCCUGGGGAGUACGGCCGCAAGGCUAAAACUCAAAGGAAUUGACGGGGGCCCGCACAAGCGGCGGAGCAUGCGGAUUAAUUCGAUGCAACGCGAAGAACCUUACCAAGGCUUGACAUGAACCGGAAUGAUGCAGAGAUGUGUCAGCCACUUGUGGCCGGUUUACAGGUGGUGCAUGGUUGUCGUCAGCUCGUGUCGUGAGAUGUUGGGUUAAGUCCCGCAACGAGCGCAACCCUCGUUCCAUGUUGCCAGCGGGUUAUGCCGGGGACUCAUGGGAGACUGCCGGGGUCAACUCGGAGGAAGGUGGGGACGACGUCAAAUCAUCAUGCCCCUUAUGUCUUGGGCUUCACGCAUGCUACAAUGGCCGGUACAAAGGGUUGCGAUACUGUGAGGUGGAGCUAAUCCCAAAAAGCCGGUCUCAGUUCGGAUUGAGGUCUGCAACUCGACCUCAUGAAGUUGGAGUCGCUAGUAAUCGCAGAUCAGCAA
rnacentral:rRNA from 1 species